GCCCUACGGGGGGCAGCAGUGAGGAAUAUUGGUCAAUGGGCGCGCGCCUGAACCAGCCAAGUCGCGUGGGGGAAGACGGUCCUAUGGAUUGUAAACCUCUUUUGUCGGGGAGCAAAAGACGCCACGCGUGGCGUUCCGAGAGUACCCGAAGAAAAAGCAUCGGCUAACUCCGUGCCAGCAGCCGCGGUAAUACGGAGGAUGCGAGCGUUAUCCGGAUUUAUUGGGUUUAAAGGGUGCGCAGGCGGAAGAUCAAGUCAGCGGUAAAAAUGCGGUGCUCAACGCCGUCGAGCCGUUGAAACUGGCGU
rnacentral:rRNA from 1 species